rnacentral:tRNA from 1 species
UCCCAGGUGGCUCAGUGGUAGAGAAUCUGCCUGUCAAGCAGGAGACUUGGGUUUAAUUCCUGGGUCAGGAA